GAUGAACGCUGGCGGCGUGCUUAACACAUGCAAGUCGAGCGAAGCGCUUAAGUUUGAUUCUUCGGAUGAAGACUUUUGUGACUGAGCGGCGGACGGGUGAGUAACGCGUGGGUAACCUGCCUCAUACAGGGGGAUAACAGUUAGAAAUGACUGCUAAUACCGCAUAAGACCACAGGGUCGCAUGACCCGGUGGUAAAAACUCCGGUGGUAUGAGAUGGACCCGCGUCUGAUUAGCUAGUUGGUGGGGUAACGGCUCACCAAGGCGACGAUCAGUAGCCGACCUGAGAGGGUGACCGGCCACAUUGGGACUGAGACACGGCCCAAACUCCUACGGGAGGCAGCAGUGGGGAAUAUUGCACAAUGGGGGAAACCCUGAUGCAGCGACGCCGCGUGAAGGAUGAAGUAUUUCGGUAUGUAAACUUCUAUCAGCAGGGAAGAAAAUGACGGUAC
rnacentral:rRNA from 1 species